UCAGAAUUUCAACGGACUUUAUAUAACCACUAUUUCACCUUCUAGAAUCUCAACAAACUUUAAAACUAUCAUUUUACCAUUAUUUACAAUUACAAACUACCAGCAUACAUUUCAGUUGUCGAUUGAUUCCGGGAAAAUAUCACAAUGACAAUGUAUUUAUUAAGAAAUUUUGAAGCAACUUUACAGGAAUCGGAUCAUGAAUAUUAGUCAUGUUUUCAAAGGAUUUGUGUACGGUGAGGUACACUUCAACAUCAAACAAUAUUAU
rnacentral:lncRNA from 1 species